rnacentral:miRNA from 1 species
UCUUGUUACGGUACGUCUUC